CGCACAAGAACCGCACAACCGACCAAACUCCAUAUUUAGUUCUCUCUACCAAAAAAUUUAUAGAUUCGUGUGUUGCUAUUGCCAUCACACCACAGCACAUUCCUCUACAGUUUCGGAUCAAGACCAUCACCGAGAGGCUCAAGGCUAGUCACUGUGUUGCUGUCCAACCACCAACGAGAGCCGCCAUUAGCUGUGAAUUGCACGUGUCCAAAUUUAAGAAUUUUUCGGGCUCAUACAAGUGGGUUUCUGACUUCAAAUUCGGAAGAGCGUAAUUGGACUGUUUUCUGUUAACUCAGGUUAGUAAAAGUGUAUGUUUGUUUUGAAGUAUUCUUGCCAUGAAAUUGCUUAAUUGAGAUUGUGAAUGCUAUGUGUAACUGAUUAUUAAAGUGUGAAAUUGAUCAUAUGCAUUCAUGACAUGAUUCCGCCACGAGCCUUUACGGCCGGGCGAUGCUCCUUCGGGAAUGCCCCACGUCAACGGAUGUCGGUCGCAGUGGAGGUUGGACCGAUGCUCCUAUAUGGAAUGCCGUCUAGAUGUAAACGAUGCCGCGCUCGACGAUGCGAGGCGAUGCCCGGUUAUGCCGAAAGACUGUUAUCUGAGCAUUGAAAUCAUAUGUGACAUAUGAAAUGCCCGGUUAUGCCGGAAGACUGUUAUCUGAGUAUUGAAAUCAUCUGUGACACAUGAAAUGCCCGGUUAUGCCGGAAAACUCUUAUUUGAGCAUUGAAAUCAUUUGUGACGCAUGAAUGGGUGAAAGUGAAGGACCUAAUUAAAAGACGGAACUGUGUGGUGCGGUAUGGGACGUGCCAUAACAGUUUAGUCUGGUAAUUAGGGGCCCAGGUAAGUAUGUGACAUUUAUGUCCUUACAUAUGUAUGUAUUAAAAGUAUUCUGAUGAUAUAUGAUUUCGAUAUCUUAUGCA